rnacentral:rRNA from 1 species
UAAGGAAUAUUGGUCAAUGGACGCAAGUCUGAACCAGCCAUGCCGCGUGGAGGAUGAAGGCCCUCUGGGUUGUAAACUUCUUUUAUUUGGGAAGAAACCCAUCUUUUCUAAGGUGGUUGACGGUACCAGAUGAAUAAGCACCGGCUAACUCCGUGCCAGCAGCCGCGGUAAUACGGAGGGUGCAAGCGUUAUCCGGAUUCACUGGGUUUAAAGGGUGCGUAGGUGGGCAAGUAAGUCAGUGGUGAAAUCUCCGGGCUUAACCCGGAAACUGCCGUUGAUACUAUUUGUCUUGAAUGUAGUGGAGGUGAGCGGAAUAUGUCAUGUAGCGGUGAAAUGCUUAGAUAUGACAUAGAACACCGAUUGUGAAGACAGCUCGCUACACUAUUAUUGACACUGAGGCACGAAAGCGUGGGGAUCAAACA